UACGGAGGGUGUAAACGUUGCUCGGAAUUAUUGGGCGUAAAGAGCGUGUAGGCGGCCUUACAGGUCAGCUGUGAAAACUCGAGGCUCAACCUCGAGACGUCGGUUGAAACCGUAAGGCUAGAGUCCGGAAGAGGAGAGUGGAAUUCCCGGUGUAGCGGUGAAAUGCGCAGAUAUCGGGAAGAACACCCGUGGCGAAGGCGGCUCUCUGGGACGGUACUGACGCUGAGACGCGAAAGCGUGGGGAGCGAACAGG
rnacentral:rRNA from 1 species